rnacentral:rRNA from 1 species
CACUCCUACGGGAGGCAGCAGUGGGGAAUAUUGGACAAUGGGCGCAAGCCUGAUCCAGCCAUGCCGCGUGAGUGAUGAAGGCCUUAGGGUUGUAAAGCUCUUUCACCGGUGAAGAUAAUGACGGUAACCGGAGAAGAAGCCCCGGCUAACUUCGUGCCAGCAGCCGCGGUAAUACGAAGGGGGCUAGCGUUGUUCGGAUUUACUGGGCGUAAAGCGCACGUAGGCGGACUAUUAAGUCAGGGGUGAAAUCCCGGGGCUCAACCCCGGAACUGCCUUUGAUACUGGUAGUCUUGAGUUCGAGAGAGGUGAGUGGAAUUCCGAGUGUAGAGGUGAAAUUCGUAGAUAUUCGGAGGAACACCAGUGGCGAAGGCGGCUCACUGGCUCGAUACUGACGCUGAGGUGCGAAAGCGUGGGGAGCAAACAGGAUUAGAAACCCCGGUAGUCCC